UACAGAGGUCUCAAGCGUUGUUCGGAUUCAUUGGGCGUAAAGGGUGCGUAGGUGGCGCUGUAAGUCGGGUGUGAAAUUUCGGAGCUUAACUCCGAAACUGCAUUCGAUACUGCGGUGCUUGAGGACUGGAGAGGAGACUGGAAUUCAUGGUGUAGCAGUGAAAUGCGCAGAUAUCAGGAGGAACACCGGUGGCGAAGGCGGGUCUCUGGGCCGAUACUGACGCUUAGGAGCGAAAGCGUGGGGAGCGAACAGG
rnacentral:rRNA from 1 species